rnacentral:rRNA from 1 species
UACGAAGGGGGCUAGCGUUGUUCGGAAUCACUGGGCGUAAAGGGCGCGUAGGCGGCUUUAUAAGUCGGGGGUGAAAGCCUGUGGCUCAACCACAGAAUUGCCUUCGAUACUGUAGAGCUUGAGACCGGAAGAGGUAAGUGGAACUGCGAGUGUAGAGGUGAAAUUCGUAGAUAUUCGCAAGAACACCAGUGGCGAAGGCGGCCCACUGGAUCGGUACUGACGCUGAGGUGGCGAAAAGCGUGGGGAGCAAACAGGG